rnacentral:tRNA from 1 species
ACUUAGGUAGUUUAAGAAAAAUGUUGGUCUGUGGAUCCAAAGAUGUGCUAGAGCACCUUAAGUA